rnacentral:rRNA from 1 species
UCGAGAAUCAUUCGCAAUGGGCGAAAGCCUGACGAUGCGACGCCGUGUGAGCGAAGAAGGCCUUCGGGUCGUAAAGCUCUUUCGCUUGGGAACAAGAGAAGUUGACGAAUAAUCAACUAAUUUGAGGGUACCAGGUAAAGAAGCACCGGCUAACUCCGUGCCAGCAGCUGCGGUAAUACGGAGGGUGCAAGCAUUAAUCGGAUUUAUUGGGCGUAAAGGGCGCGUAGGCGGGGAUAUAAGUCAGAUGUGAAAUCCUGGGGCUCAACCUCAGAACUGCAUUUGAAACUGUAUCUCUAGAGGGUAGAAGGGGAAAACGGAAUUCCACAAGUAGCGGUGAAAUGCGUAGAUAUGUGGAAGAACACCGGUGGCGAAGGCGGUUUUCUAUUUUACUCCUGACGCUGAUGCGCGAAAGCAAGGGGAUCAAACAGGAUUAGAUACCCCGGUAGUCC